CGUCGCGUUUUCGGAGGCGGCUGCCGCUCAGACCCCCGAGUCCUCGCACAGCCCCGGGGUGCUCUCAGCCCCCCUCACCCUCGGGAUUUCUUUCAGCGGGUGCUUCAGUUCUUCAGGCUCUCUUCGGCUGAGCGAGGGCUGCAGCAGAGGCUCUCAUCGGCCCGAAGCGGUGAGCUCGUGGAAGCGGUGAGUGUUCGAGAGUCGCUCGGUAAGAUCUCUCGUGCUGGGGCUCCUGUAGGGUUGCUGCUCGACUGCCUCUGUCUUUGGGAUCGGCACGGCGCCGCCGCUGGGCUCCCGUGUGGCUUUUUUAGUAGGACCGGCACGGGGCCUCCGCCCGAGACCGAGCACGAUCCCGGGGUGGCCUCGGCCACUGCGGAGUGUUUUGCGGGUGCUCUCACCCAUCCCGUUUCCAGCAGUGGGAGCGAGCAGGUUGGGACCGUGGUUUUAUUUUUUUUUUUCCCCCUCCUCUUCCUUCCCGUGUAACUGCAGGAGCACGAUUUAGGUUCCCAUCGUGGAGACCUGGCAGGGCAGCUCGCACGACUGGAGUGCUGUCGUGGAUGGCUCUGUUCCUUUUAGGAAAGACAGACCGGUCAGGCGGUGGAGUCUCUCUUCGAGGGAGAGAACGGGAACGUAUCGAGCUCCACCUAGGGGUGAAUGAAGAACCAGCGGAGCGUUUGUGCGUGAGGCUGAAGAGGCAGCUGGAAAUGGUGCCCACAGCUGUGAGGCCAGUUCUCAUGGUAGGCUCCAGGAGUUUCCUGCAAUGUGUCAAAGGUAAGAUCUUCUGACACAGGUGAUGAAGGAGGCAUUGAGGAGAGGGGCUGCUGGAGCUCCCUAUUGCAGAAGAGCCAUUUGGGGACAGGAAGGCCAGGGGCAGCCUGGAGCGUGCCAGUCGUGAGACCACAGCGUUUGGGAUCUUGUGUGGAAGCUGCAAAGCAAUGAGUAGGAUUGAAACACUGGACUUAGAGGGAGCCAAGUUUGUCCUCUUGAAGGGCCUACUUGGAGGUAACCCUUGCUCAAGCAUAGGAAGGGGUCCUGUGAAUGCUGGAGCAUUACUUCGUCCAUGCUGAGGUGCGCUGUGUCCCAAGGAGGAAGGAACUGCGCAGGAAUGGUGGGGGACCUGCAGGGCUGACUGAGGAACUUGAAGGGGAGAAGGAAGAGAGAGGCUGAGGAAGGCCAAGUCCCUCUGAGUAUCAGCUUUGGGAGGGAGGUCAAGGCUAAUGGAAGUUUGUCAACAGGAGAGACUGGAGAAAUUGCAGGCCUGCGCUUUACAAGGCGGAGGCCUCUUGGGUUCAGUGGUUUCUGCUGAGAGUGCUCCUGGGGAACCUGGGGUCCUGGAGGAGAGAGUCCCUGAGGAAGGAUGUCUUCCCCUCAGUUGCGGAGGAGCUGGUCAAAGGUAGUUCAGGCAGAAAGGAGGCCAGCAAAUGCCUGAGCUGUAGAGGGCUAUGUCUGUGCCCGCUGAGAGCUGGCAGCGGUGACUGGCAAUAGCUCUGUCACUUUUCCCUGCUGUUUCCUGUGGGAAAGGUACCUGAAGACUGGAGGAUGGCGGAUGCCACCGCAGCCUUCAGAAAGGGUGUGGAGGAUGGCGUGUGCAACUUGGAGGUAGGUUGGCCUCAUGUCUGUUCCUGGGGAGGUGACGCAACAGCUUGUUGCAGGUGUCAUUGCCAUGUGACCGGAGGAGAAGGAAUUUGCAAGGAGCAGUCCAGGUGGAUGGACAGAGGAGAAGUCAUGCUGGACCAAAAGGGUGAAGGCUGCAGAGAGGAUUGGCUGGAGCAGGUGUGCAGUUUUCCCAGCGGUGGGAUGAAGGAGGUGAGAGAGGGGGAGCCCCAGGCGGGAGCCCUUGUGGUGGAGGGCUGCCCCCAGGAGCGCCCCCUUGGAGGUGGUUUGUGGAGGUCUCUGUGCAGGUUCAGGCUGGAGGCAGGAUCCUGGCGGUGUGAGCGGGGCGCCCCUGUGGAGCAAGGGUGGAAGGUGCGUGGCAGGUCCUGUCCCGGAGGAGUGGAGUUAAGGGUCCUGGCGUGGCUGUUUUCCUGCAUGGAAGAUGUAGAUCCUGGGAGCUGCGAUGAGGAGGAGCAGAGCCAGCAGUGGCUCCUGUGUGGCGAUGGCUGCUUUGUGUGGUGCUCCUGGGCUGAAAGGAGGAGGAGAAAAAAGUUUUUAGUGUGGUUCUUCAAAGCUCAGUUUCCCUUCCCCAAGAAGCUAUGGGGAGCUUCUAGGUCUAAUGCUGUUCCUCUGCUUUUGAGCUGAAUUUCUGCACGGCAGCCUUUCUCGAAUGCAGUAGGGCUUCCCUGGCUUGAAGAUGGGUGUGCUGUCCUGAGGGAGGAGCAGUGUUGGCUGUCUUACAGUGACCUUCUGCUUUCCUUUAAGAAGAGUCCACUAAGAACUGUAUCGGGUUUUUCAGUAGCUGGAGAGCUGGGCUGUGCAUCUGUGUUCCUCCAUCUACAAUGAGAAGAAAGGAUUUCCUUUUUUUUUUAAUUUUGUUGUUGUAACAAGUAACAAAUAAAAUUCAAGGGAGCUUGGCAACUGUGUUUGACUGUGAGUGGUUCCAGAAGUCUGACCUUUGUUCUUCUGUCAUUCAUAUUGAACACUGAUCCCUAGGUGCACAGUGCACAAGGAGGCUCUAACCUUCUCCAGUUUCUACACUCACUUGAAGUAAUUAUGGCCAUAGUCAUUUCCCUUCCACAUCAACAUUGGUUACUGUACUGAGCAGAUAAAUCCCUUCCCCCAAACCUAUGUGGCUGCAUGACAAACCAUGGGGACUCCAUGUGGAAAUAACAGUAAAAAUAAGCCAUCCAGGGCUAAGAGGAGGUCUUUCAAACUUGAUGUGAUAUGUCUGUUCCUCAGGGGUUCGUAUGGUCUUGUGUACUGGACACUGCAAAAAAACAGUAGCAGAAGCAGUGAAACUAAGGGAAGAGGAAGGUUUCAGAUAUCACCUUGCAAAGCUCAUUGCUCACAGCAUAAGCUCUUCAGACUACCUUGACACACGGGCCUUGGAGAAGUCAGGCACAAGCGCUUAUCCUUCUAAAUGCCUUUCCCAAGAGCUGAGACCCCACAAACUUCACACACCUAGCAAAAGCACACAGGAAUGGGUCUCCAAGGAGGAAAAGCGAGCUCGCCUGUCAGUACUGCCAGAGAAGACAGUGGUGGAGACUGUUGGGCUGAUGCCCUCUUGUGUUGUUUUAAAUGCUAGUCCGCUAAAGUAGGAUGAUCAAACAAAUGUACAUUCCUAAAGUCAUCCUCUGACUCACUGAACCCUCUUCUCUAUUUUUCCCCCUCUAAGUCAGAGUAUUUUACUUUUUUGUCCUAAACAAAAAUUAUCUAGGAAAUAUCCUUUUUGGCAGCCCAAAUUGUUAGCAGCACAGACCAUUCUCUGCUCACAGAAGCCUUAGUUCUAU
ensembl:lncRNA